AUUGAACGCUAGCGGGAUGCUUUACACAUGCAAGUCGAACGAGUGGCGGACGGGUGAGUAAUAUAUCGGCACGUGCCCAGUAGCUGGGGAUAACUACUCGAAAGAGUGGCUAAUACCGCAUACUUUUGGAUCGGCCCAUGUCGGAUUAGCUAGUUGGGGGGGUAAAGGCUCACCAAGGCAACGAUCCGUAGCUGGUUUGAGAGGACGACCAGCCAAACUGGGAAUUAGACACGGUCCAGACUCCUACGGGAGGCAGCAGUGGGGAAUAUUGGACAAUGGGGGAAACCCUGAUCCAGCCAUGCCGCGUGUAUGAGAAGGCCUUCGGGUUGUAAAGUACUUUUGGCAGAGAAGCGGUACCUGCAGAAUAAGCACCGGCUAACUACGUGCCAGCAGCCGCGGUAAUUC
rnacentral:rRNA from 1 species